UACGAGAGGCCCAAACGUUAUUCGGAAUUACUGGGCUUAAAGAGUUCGUAGGCGGCGCAGAAAGUAGGGUGUGAAAGCCCUCGGCUCAACCGAGGAAUUGCGCUCUAAACUACUGUGCUUGAGGAAUCUAGAGGUGAGCGGAACUGAUGGUGGAGCGGUGAAAUGCGUUGAUAUCGUCAGGAACACCGGAGGCGAAGGCGGCUCACUGGGGAUUUUCUGACGCUGAGGAACGAAAGCCAGGGGAGCGAACGGG
rnacentral:rRNA from 1 species